rnacentral:rRNA from 1 species
GACGAACGCUGGCGGCGUGCUUAACACAUGCAAGUCGAACGGAAAGGCCCUGCUUUUGUGGGGUGCUCGAGUGGCGAACGGGUGAGUAACACGUGAGUAACCUGCCCUUGACUUUGGGAUAACUUCAGGAAACUGGGGCUAAUACCGGAUAGGAGCUCCUGCUGCAUGGUGGGGGUUGGAACGUUUCGGCGGUUGGGGAUGGACUCGCGGCUUAUCAGCUUGUUGGUGGGGUAGUGGCUUACCAAGGCUUUGACGGGUAGCCGGCCUGAGAGGGUGACCGGCCACAUUGGGACUGAGAUACGGCGCAGACUCCUACGGGAGGCAGCAGUGGGGAAUAUUGCACAAUGGGAGGACGCCUGAUGCAGCAACGCCGCGUGCGUGAUGACGGCCUUCGGGUUGUAAACCGCUUUCGCCUAUGACGAAGCGUGAGUGACGGUAAUGGGUAAAGAAGCACCGGCUAACUACGUG